GAUGAACGCUGGCGGCGUGCCUAAUACAUGCAAGUCGAGCGGUAAGGCCCCUUCGGGGGUACACGAGCGGCGGACGGCUGAGUAACACGUAGGAACGUACCCCAAACUGAGGGAUAAGCACCAGAAAUGGUGUCUAAUACCGCAUGUGCUCUUCGGAGUAAAGCUACGGCGGUUUGGGAACGGCCUGCGUCCGAUUAGCUAGUUGGUGAGGUAAUAGCUCACCAAGGCGACGAUCGGUAGCUGGUCUGAGAGGAUGAUCAGCCAGACUGGGACUGAGAACGGCCCAGACUCCUACGGGAGGCAGCAGUAGGGAAUUUUCCACAAUGGGCGAAAGCCUGAUGGAGCAACGCCGCGUGCAGGAUGCAUGCCUUCGGGUUGUAAACUGCUUUUAUAUGUGACGAUUAUGACGGUAGCAUAUGAAUAAGGAUCGGCUAACUCCGUGCCAGCAGCCGCCGUAAAAC
rnacentral:rRNA from 1 species